rnacentral:rRNA from 1 species
AGUGAACGCUGGCGGUAGGCCUAACACAUGCAAGUCGAACGGCAGCACAGUAAGAGCUUGCUCUUACGGGUGGCGAGUGGCGGACGGGUGAGGAAUACAUCGGAAUCUACUUUUUCGUGGGGGAUAACGUAGGGAAACUUACCCUAAUACCGCAUACGACCUACGGGUGAAAGCAGGGGAUCUUCGGACUUUGCGCGAUUGAAUGAGCCGAUGUCGGAUUAGCUAGUUGGCGGGGUAAAGGCCCACCAAGGCGACGAUCCGUAGCUGGUCUGAGAGGAUGAUCAGCCACACUGGAACUGAGACACGGUCCAGACUCCUACGGGAGGCAGCAGUGGGGAAUAUUGGACAAUGGGCGCAAGCCUGAUCCAGCCAUACCGCGUGGGUGAAGAAGGCCUUCGGGUUGUAAAGCCCUUUUGUUGGGAAAGAAAAGCAGCAGGUUAAUACCCCGCUGUUCUGACGGUACCCAAAGAAUAAGCACCGGCUAACUUCGUG